AUGAACGCUGGCGGCGUGCCUCAUACAUGCAAGUCGAGCGAACAGACGAGGAGCUUGCUCCUCUGACGUUAGCGGCGGACGGGUGAGUAACACGUGGAUAACCUACCUAUAAGACUGGGAUAACUUCGGGAAACCGGAGCUAAUACCGGAUAAUAUAUUGAACCGCAUGGUUCAAUAGUGAAAGACGGUUUUGCUGUCACUUAUAGAGGGAUCCGCGCCGCAUUAGCUAGUUGGUAAGGUAACGGCUUACCAAGGCGACGAUGCGUAGCCGACCUGAGAGGGUGAUCGGCCACACUGGAACUGAGACACGGUCCAGACUCCUACGGGAGGCAGCAGUAGGGAAUCUUCCGCAAUGGGCGAAAGCCUGACGGAGCAACGCCGCGUGAGUGAUGAAGGUCUUCGGAUCGUAAAACUCUGUUAUUAGGGAAGAACAAAUGUGUAAGUAACUAUGCACGUCUUGACGGUACCUAAUCAGAAAGCCACGGCUAACUACGUG
rnacentral:rRNA from 1 species